UUGACUUAUUUCUUCAAUACUCAGACUUCACAAAAUCAUUCAGGUUUGUUUGGGCCUCUGGCAGGCACUCACCAGCCGGAGCCGGUAGACAAGAGGCAGGCCUGCCAAAGCAACAGCGUACGUAAACAUGGGGUGGGAGAUCUACCCAGAGGGCAGUGUCUCGUUAAUGAUCCUUCCGCAGGUUCACCUACGGAAA
rnacentral:misc_RNA from 1 species